UAGUAGGCGACUCGUUUAAUAGAGAAAGUUUUAGCUUGUGGCAUAUUCAGCAUCAUAUUAUCUCGGUGCCAUUUCUCUGACUAAUUCCACAUUUCAGAUACAAAUGAAGACUGAAGGAUUUAUUUCUGUUAUUUAAUAGCAUUUGUUUAAUUCCGAGAUUAAUAUAUCAUCUUCAACCCUGAAACAGAGGCCCUCUGAAACAUCAGACCCAAAAAAUUGGACACAGCCUACUAGCCCAAAAAGAACAUGUUGCCAAUUAUCUCCAUGUUUAUUUAAAUAUUUUGCUCUAAAGGAAGCAAUCAUUCCUUUAUACUUCUUUAAAUUUAGUAUUGACAUUUUUAUUUUGGGAAAGGAGGUCUUUUUUUUUUUUAACAUGGAUACAGGAAAAGAAAACUCUCCAAUAAAAAUAUUGUCUAAAAAGUUUGUUUUGUCUGCAUGAUUUACUAAAUAUGUACAAUUUCAAUUCACAGCGAAGGUAACAAAGAUUUAAACAGCCAACAUCACAAAUGUCUCAAGUUCUAAAAAAAAAUCACUGUGCACAGUUUAACAAUUUAAUUGAAAAAACCAAAGCUAAGCCUUCAGUCUGAAUCUUUUUUUAUGAUGGGCACAAGCCAUGUAUUUUCUUCAUCUUUGUUACACGAUGCAUAUUUCAGUGACUAAAAGCCCCUUCCCAUUUUAGUAUAUUAGGUUAUGUCAGUACAUACUUAAGAGAGGCAUAAAUUGCCUCUUGGUACACCAAUAUGAUUUGUGAUGUGUUCACAUAUAUGUCAUAAUAUUUAUUAAUAUAUAGAAUGAUCAGAUGAGUCACCUGUGAUUUUUCUUAAUGUCUUCAAAUGUAGGAAUGUUUUGUUGCAUGUAUAAAAUUUUUCAGAAUUUAUAGGAGUGCUUAUAUAAGCGAUAAUAAUUGGACCAGUGUCCCUUGAUGUAAGGUGUCUAGAAAGAACUCUUCUGCUCUUGAAAUAUAGAGAUUUCACAUCUCUACACAAUACAGGUUUAUAAAGUUUGCUAUUAUAUGAUCAAGUGAGUGAACCAAUUAAUCAUUAGAAACAAAUGUCAUUGAAUACAGAAUAGUUGAGUUACAGUUAAGAAGGGAGCCAUAACCUCAGCUGCCCUAUAAAAUCUAUAAUAAGGUGGUUUUCAUAUAUAUAUUUUUUCCCCAUGUGAAUUCUUUGGUGUUUUUUCCCCCUCUUUUUUUAGUGCUAUGAUUGAUGAACAUGCAAUGUGAGAUUCAAAUAAUUGCAUUGAGCAUGUUUAUUUGAAUAAUUGCCCCAUUGCACAAUAAAUAAAUCCGCUGAGUGUGUUUGUUUGAAUGUUUUUACAUGUACAUGGGAUCACAUAGUCAAAUAAAUGCAGCUGUGUUUAUUACAAUGUGUGGGGCUCCAGAUAUACACACACUUGUUUGUGUGUAUAUCCAGGGCCCUACAGCCCCUGAAUGGCCUCACACAUCUUGGAGCAAAAGCAUGGUUAACAAUUUUUCAGUUCAAAUACAUGUAAACUUAUUAUUGGGCAGUCUCCUCAAAUUUGUGACUAAGAUUUGCUUUUAUUAAGGCUUACAUUAUUAGAAAGAUAAAAAAUGACCUUUUUAAAAGUUAUCUGAUUGUGAAAAGUAUCUAAUACAUUUAUUCAUAUUUAUUCAAAUAUAGUCCCUUCUUUCCCCUUUCCUCCAAGCCCUCCCACUCCGCCCCCAGUCCAAUUCAUGCUAAGGAAGAUGUAUGUUUUGUUUAGCUCUUGCGGAGAAAUUCUGAUACGCAUCUCUCUUCCCAGUUAUUUCAGGCCUAAGCUUACAGUGUCAUGUGAAGAAAAAAGAAAAGAUUGCACAGAUAUGCUAGAAUACAAAAGGCUCUUGGAGAAAAUGGGCAGGGGUGUUCAGUUGUUCCAGUGUUUCCUCAUCCUCCCCUGCCCCCUAUUCGAGGGGGGAAAGGUUAGAUUUAGAACUAAGCGUGUGGGAAGAGUAAGUAGUUGAUAAAACAGAAGAACACAUCUGAUGUUACUAAAAUGCACAUCUCUUGGUUGUGGAGGGGAAUUUCUUGUUUGCGACCUUGGAGAAGAAUCUUAAGACAAAUCAAAAGUUUUUAUUUUUCCCUAGAGUUAGAGGAUUAUGCAGCCCUAAUGUGCAAUCGUGUCCAGCGGAUAAAUAGCAUUAAAAAAAACUCCUCAGAUAUGGGACAUUGUAGUGAUUGUCACAAUUCACAAGUGUUAUCCUGAUAUUUUCAGACUCAGGUAUUCUGAGCCUGCCUAUGAAAUGGAGUUAGGAACAAAUGACAGAGAAGGGGGUAACAGGAGGGGCAAGGCAGGGUCUGCUCAACUAUUACUGUAUCUUCAUUACAUCCUUUCUGUGUAUGUGUGUGUGUGUAUAUAUAUAUAUAUAUACACACACACACAUACACACUUUCUAUUGAGUUUCAAGUUGCAAAGAAUGACUUUUGUGAAAUUUAGGAAAGUGGUAUUAUGGCUAAGGAAUAAAUAUAAAUAUGUUGUUCUUGCCAACUGGAAAUAUCAUACUCAAAAUUUUAGCAAAUUUAAUAGCAAAAUGAUGCUUUUCUUCUUUGAUUCUAAAGUAGAAAAAAUACAUGGACAGCUACUAUAUUAUAGUUCUGUAUAUUC
rnacentral:lncRNA from 10 species